rnacentral:rRNA from 1 species
AGGAAAUAGAUACCCCGGUAGUCCACGCCGUAAACUAUGGACGCUAGCUGUUAGAAGUAUCGACCCUUCUAGUAGCGAAAGCUAAACGCGUUAAGCGUCCCGCCUGUGGAGUACGAGCGCAAGCUUAAAACAUAAAGGAAUUGACGGGGACCCGCACAAGCGGUGGAGCGUGUUGUUUAAUUCGAUGCUAAGCGAAGAACCUUACCCAGGUUUGACAUCCUACUAAUUUCUCCGAAAGGAGAGAGUGCCUUCGGGCCGUAGUGACAGGUGUUGCAUGGCCGUCGUCAGCUCGUGUCGUGAGAUGUUUGGUUAAGUCCAUCAACGAGCGCAACCCUUUUGUUUAGUUGUAUUUCUCUAAACAGACUGCCCUGGCAACAGGGAGGAAGGAGGGGAUAAUGUCAGGUCAGUAUUACCCUUACGUCUGGGGCUACAAACACGCUACAAUGGACGGUACAAAGGGCAGCCAACCCGCGAGGGGAGCAAAUCCCAUCAAAACCGUUCUCAGUUCGGAUUGCAGGCUGAAACUCGCCUGCAUGAAGCUGGAAUCGCUAGUAAU